rnacentral:misc_RNA from 1 species
GUGAAUCAUCAAAUUUUUGAACGCAAAUUGCACUCUCUUCGGAGAUUAUGCCUGUCUGAGGGUCAGCCUAAAAAAAAUUGACAUAGUUGCUGUUUCGCGGUGACACUCGUCGGAAAUCGGGUCAUCUUAAACCUUUGGGUUUUAAGCGGCUCAUAAUUUUCUUUACGACUCCACGAUCGUUGCUAAGAUUUACUUCUUACACGUUUAAGGUAUCGAUCUUUAUUAGACGUGGCCGUCGCAUCGGAUCACGCCCAUAAAUAUUUCGUUAACUGACCUCAUACAGGUA